rnacentral:rRNA from 1 species
AACGAACGCUGGCGGCGUGCCUAACACAUGCAAGUCGAGCGAGAAAGCCCGCAAGGGUGAGUAAAGCGGCGCACGGGUGCGUAACACGUGGGUAAUCUGCCCUGAAGUCCGGAAUAACUCGCCGAAAGGCGUGCUAAUGCCGGAUAAGACCACGGGAACCUCGGUUCCUGCGGGGAAAGGUGGCCUCUGUACACAAGCUAUCACUUCAGGAUGAGCCCGCGGCCCAUCAGCUAGUUGGCGGGGUAAUGGCCCACCAAGGCUACGACGGGUAGCUGGUCUAAGAGGACGAUCAGCCACACUGGAACUGAGACACGGUCCAGACUCCUACGGGAGGCAGCAGUGGGGAAUCUUGCGCAAUGGGCGAAAGCCUGACGCAGCAACGCCGCGUGUGUGAUGAAGGUCUUCGGAUCGUAAAGCACUGUCGGGAGGGACGAAUAGGGCGCCGGCUAACAUCCGGCGCUGAUGACGGUACCUCCAAAGGAAGCACCGGCUAACUCUGUGCCAGCCGCCGCAGUAACAC